UCUUCAAGCUCCGCAGCCCGGCCAAGUGCCAGCGAAAACACCAAGAAGAACAAACAAACAACAACAGCACCUUAUGAGUCAAAAAGGGAAAGGACAUUUGUAAAAAGCUGGAGUGAUGAAUUCGACUGGGUGCGUUGUGAAGAAGGAGUGAUGUUCUGCGGCGUCUGCCGGGGACAACCCAACUUGGCUGACAACUCAUCUUCGUUGGUCAAAGGGACAAGUGCCUUCAGACAUGACACACUGCUCUCCCACGGGACCAGCAAACGCCACCAGCACUGUGCUGUUGCUGAGAAGGCAAAAGAUCCUCAUGCAAAAGUGCCAGCUGUAGUCCAAGGAGUACAAAAAAUGGACCCGGCAAUGUUUAAUAAAAUGAAGAAUGUUAUGCACACAGCCUAUUACAUUGCAAAGGAGGCGCAACCCUUCACUCAAUUUCCUGAACUUCAUGGGCUCAUUAACAGGACCGGUGGGGCACUCCCAGACAGCUACAAAUCAGACAAAGCUUGUGCUCGGUAUGUCACACACAGACCAAAUCCAGUAGCCGAACAAUGCUUUCUUAUGUGCAUUACCCAAAGUGUUAACAUAAUAAUGUUGUUCUUUGCAGCUUCAUUUGUAACAUGUAUGAUGUGGAGAGGGAAAAGCUCAUGGAGAAGUUGAGGAAAGCCAAACACUUCUCCAUCAUGAUUGCUGGGGCAACUGAUGGUGGCACCGUUGAAAAUGAAGCUGUCUAUGUCCACUUCAUGGCAGACGAAGGUCCAGUAAAUGCUUUCCUCUCUAUUCAGGCUGUUAAACAAGGAAAUGCUUCUGGGAUCCUGGAUGCCAUCUAUGCAGCAUUUGAAGAAGCUGGCAUUGAUGACUGGAAAGACCGGCUAGUGGGAUUUGGCAGCGAUGGAGCAGCAGUCAAUGUCGGAUGCAGGAAUGGGUUGGCAGCGCAGCUUCUGAGGGACAUCCCAUACCUCAUCUCCAUACACUGCAUAGCUCAUCGCCUGGAGCUGGGUGUGAGUAAAGCAAUUAAUGAAAAUACCAACAUGGUCCAGCUUCAGAAUACACUGAAGAACCUAUAUGACCAGUACCACUACUCCCCCAAGGCUCUCGGGGAGCUUCACCAGGUUGCUGAGGCCCUGGAGGAGAAGGUACUGAAGCCGUCAAACCUCCAUGGUGCCCGAUGGCUACCAUAUGUGCAUCGUGCAACAAAGAUUGUAUGCGAUAGUUACUCUGUCCUCUGGCCCAUUUUGAGGACAUGGCAAGCAUGGAAAGGAGCCCCAAACCAUCAUCAGCUGUUGUUGGAAGAGCGAAACAAGUCACUGGGUAUCUCAAGAACCUGCACCAUUUAAUUCCUACACUUCAUGUGUGACGCACUUGAUCAUCUCGCACUUUUGAGCAAAGAGUUCCAGAAAGACAACAACACGGUGUGUCAAGCGGUUGAAAGCCUGGAGACAUGUUACUGGAACCUGACAGCACUCAAGACAGAAAUGGGUCCACAGAUGGCCAAAGUCUACGAGGCAGUGAAGACAAAUGGAGAAUAUAGAGGAGUGCAGUUCCAGGUUCGACAUGCUGUUCCGAGCUUGGAAGCAGAACGAGCUGCCGUGAUUGGCAAGAAGAAAUGUAGUGUUAGUUACAUUAUGUAGAUUGGCACUCUAAUUUAAUGUAGUGGCAAUGGUGUAACUCAAAUGAUUAUGUUUUGAUCCAAACAGAUGCCAUCAUCUUUCACUUAGAGGAGAAGCUGAGGGACCUUCAAAGGGGCAGUCCAGUCAGUACAUUUAAGGCCUUUGAUCCCUCUUGCUGGCCCAAAUGGGAUAGGUCAGACGGCAGUGCGCAAUUCAGGGAGAGUGGUCAGGAAGAUCUGAGGGCACUGACUAGUCACUUCAGUGUCCUCCUGUGUAGGGAGGGCAUAAGCACAGAAGAUGUAAUGUCCAACUUUCAAGACUACAAGGUGUUUGCCCAGGAGAGAACAUCUGUUCCAAUGAGGGACACAUUCUUAAAUAUUCUGAAGUCAGAUGUGAACGGUUCAGGAGUUUGGUGACACUCCUGAAAGUUUACUUGAUCCUGCCAGUCAGCACAGCUGUGUGUGAAAGAGGGUUCUCAACCAUGAAACGGAUAAAAUCCGACUGGAGGACCAGCCUCAGCUCAGUACAGCUUUAGAGGCUGAUUUUUCUGUCAGUAGAGGGCCCAAAGUUGCAAGACUUUGAUGCUGGAUUGGUGGUGGAGAGGUGGUGGACCUGCAGUCAAAGGCAGCGCCGCCCAGGAUUUAACCCCUGGGAAUCAAGGCGUCGGCCCGAAGACGAAUAGUGUUCCAGUUAUGUUGUCUUUCCCUGUCACAUCACCCAUUUCUUCUUUCUCCCCAUUUUGUUCUACACCCUCGUUAUUUCAACUUAAAUGUACCUAUAAAGGGAGAAGGGAAUGAAAACAUGUAUAUAAAUGAUAAUAA